rnacentral:rRNA from 1 species
GUCUACGCAUCACCCUGAAGCACGCCCGAUCUCGUCCUGAUCUCGCGGAAGGCUAAAGCAGGGUCAGGCCUGGUAGUACUUGGAUGGGGAAGACCUCCUGGGAAUCCGGUUGCUGUAGGCU